AAGAAACAGUUCGAUUCACUGUGGAUCGAAUACCCUUCAAUUGCCACUCUCUAUCUUCUGCCAAAAGUCCACAAAGAUGCCCGGACCCCACCAGAUACCUCGGACGCCUUGAGGCGUAUGGAAAAUAUCCAUCUCGAUGAUGAUAUGCUAAUUGUGACAUGUGAUGUCGAAUCUUUAUAUACGUCAAUACAUCAUGAUGAUGGAAUCAGAGCCACACAACUUUUCCUGGGAAUGUCGGAUGUGGAUAGACUAUUGGGCCAUUGACCUUUCCGAAAGAUUUCGGGAGAGAGGAUAUAAAGAACAAUGGAUCAGAAGAGCCUAUCUAAGAGCUAAGCACGCGAAAAGGGAAGAUCUUAUGCAGCG